CCACGUCAACUGAAACAAUUGAAAAAGAAAAAACUUUUCAGCAUGUAUCAUUUAAUAGUUUUGUUUUAAGAACAUAAACUAGUAAUCUAGUACUCUCGGCUUCUAGCUAUAUGAAUGCGUCCAGCACUUCAAUUAGUUUACACUAAAUUCAUGCCACACUAUUCAAAUUCAUUCCCUUUUGAUACAGUAGCAGACCCGGUGAUAGAAUGUCAUGGAAAGCUGAUGAAUAGCCAAACGAGAGGGAUGGAUAAAGAAAAGUCAAGUUACAAGAGGAAUGAAGAAAAAAUAUUAUGCUCCCUAAAAGCCUAAAGUACAUGCUACAGUUUCAGGACAUGCAUCAAAAGUUUAGUUCCGAAAAAUCUCUACCACUUGUUUUUCUAGCAGUUUCCACCAUCACGUUCAUGCUUGGCAAUUUUAGUUGUGAUGGAUGAGUAAUGGACCAAGAGACAUCAAUGAAAAGAUGAAUCUCCAGGCAAACACCUACAGAUCUUUGUCCAUCUCCUAGAGCUUUAGGGUCUUUUUGUUAGGAGACAGGGACAGGGGUGUGAUUUAGGUGGGUGGAUGAGGUCUGGAUGCAGAUUAAAUAAGGAAAAGAUUGGAAGGGUCUCUUCUAUCUUUGCCUACUUAUAAUUUUCAAUCCUCCCAAUAUGAGUAGAUGCAAAUUAGCUUCCAUCCUUUCCCUCGUUAGCCAAAUAAACUUAAUAGACAGGUUAAUAUCGAUCCUUUCUCCCAUCCACACUUCCUUCCUGGUAAACAUCCCCUUA